rnacentral:rRNA from 1 species
ACAUGCCUACCACAUAUCAUUAAUGCACCAGAUCCCAUUAGAACUCCACAGUUAAGCACGCUCAGGCUAUAGUGGUACUGGGAUGGGUGACCUCUCGGGAAGUCCUAGUGUUUUACAUGCC